rnacentral:rRNA from 1 species
UAGGGAAUAUUAGAAAUGGACGAAAGUCUGAUCUAGCAACACCGCGUGUGCGAAGAAGGCCUUCGGGUUGUAAAGCACUUUUUGGAAGGAUUAGGAAGGAAUGUACUUCCAGAAUAAGUCUCGGCUAACUACGUGCCAGCAGCCGCAGUAACACGUAGGAGGCAAACGUUAUCCGGAUUUACUGGGCGUAAAGCGCGUGUAGGUGGUUCUGUAAGUAGGGCGUGAAAGCUCCUGGCUCAACUGGGAGAGGCCGUUCUAAACUGCAGAGCUAGAGGAUGGUAGAGGGAGGUGGAAUUCCGGGUGCAGCGGUGGAAUGCGCGGAUAUCCGGAGGAACACCAGUGGCGAAAGCGGCCUCCUGGACCAUUCCUGACACUCAGACGCGAAAGCUAGGGUAGCAAACG